rnacentral:rRNA from 1 species
AUCCAGACUCCUACGGGAGGCAGCAGUGGGGAAUAUUGCACAAUGGGGGAAACCCUGAUGCAGCGACGCCGCGUGAGUGAAGAAGUAUUUCGGUAUGUAAAGCUCUAUCAGCAGGAAAGAAAAUGACGGUACCUGACUAAGAAGCCCCGGCUAACUACGUGCCAGCAGCCGCGGUAAUACGUAGGGGGCAAGCGUUAUCCGGAUUUACUGGGUGUAAAGGGAGCGUAGACGGUGAAGCAAGUCUGAAGUGAAAGGCGGGGGCUCAACCCCCGGACUGCUUUGGAAACUGUUUGACUGGAGUGCAGGAGAGGUAAGUGGAAUUCCUAGUGUAGCGGUGAAAUGCGUAGAUAUUAGGAGGAGCACCAGUGGCGAAGGCGGCUUACUGGACUGUAACUGACGUUGAGGCUCGAAAGCGUGGGGAGCAAACAGGAUUAGAUACCCUUGUAA